GCUGUGGUGGCCGAGCGGUCUAAGGCGCGUGACUCAAGUUCACGUGGGAGUUUUCCCUCGUGAGUUCGAAUCUCACCCACAGCA